CUUUCAUCGUAAUCCCCUACGGCACACAUUUCCCUUUCUGUAUCCAGCCGUCAAUUUCGAAAGCUCGACGAGGCAAACGCAGCGUCAUAAAUUCUGGUUUUGGUAGUCUCGAUGCUUUGCUUUGUGGCCGGACAUUUGCACACCGAAGUGAUACAAUACACCAUAAAUAACGAUAUCGCCUUGGAAAAGUUCAAACAGACUGCAGAUUUCUGAUCAAACUUUGCACACAUUCGUUCUCGCUUCGCGAUGAAAGCUGUUUCAGGUCUUAACCAGCAGCCAUACGAGAAGUGUUAUCAGGAACAUGUCCGCCUUACGGAGCGCAAUUCUACUAGGAUCCCAGUCGAACGUUAUCGAUACAAAGGCGGAACGCCUGGUUCCAACAAAUACAAAUGCUAAGCCAAUAUGCACCUGCGGCCUUUGCAGACCUGUCGGCCACAAAGUCGCUGGAUGUCAAAAAGGUAAAAAGGAUAUAUAUGUCGUGUUCAGUACGAGAGUGUGUCGUGAUAACUGCUUAAAGGAAGUUUGUUAAGCUCGAUAGCGGCACUUUUGUCCUGAAGGAUGCAUUCCGCCUUGGUCGACUUUUGAAGGCCUUCAUCGACUUGCGUUACGGAUAUCCAAUAAUCGUUGAAUAACUUGAAGCUAGGGGAUUGUAUUUAAGACAAGCUGAAGGGCGCCAAAGAAUACAGUUUCUUAUUAUCUCGCCCGAUACUGCGCAACACACAAAUACAGUGACAGAUCACUGUUGUGGAUGAAAAGAAGUGAUGUUCCUACGCUACGGUCUCUUCCGAUCGCUAACAAAUAAGAUUUGCCGUACAUGUGACGAUGAAUACAAUCUCAAAAACAUGCUGGACGAACUCGUCAACAUCAGACCAGAAAAUUUUCGGCUAAACGGGAUGGAAGUACGUUGUAGGAAUGAUGACAUAUUCACAAUAAAUGAA